rnacentral:rRNA from 1 species
CCUACGGGUGGCAGCAGUGGGGAAUAUUGCACAAUGGCGGGAACUCUGAUGCAGCGACGCCGCGUGAGUGAAGAAGUACUUCGUUAUGUAAAGCUCUAUCAGCCGGGAAGCAAGUGAAGGUACCUGAAAAUGAUGCACCGGCUAAAUACGUGCCAGCAGCCGCGGUUAUAUGUAUGGAGCAAGCGUUAUCCGGAUUUACUGGGGGUAAAGGGGGAGUAGGUGGCAGAGCAAGUCCGAAGUUAAAACCCAAAGCUCAACUAUGAGAAUGCUGUAGAAACUGCUCAGCUUGAGUGCAGGAGAGGCAAGUGGAAUUCGUAGUGUAGCGGUGAAAUGCGUAGAUAUUAGGAAGAACACCAGUUGCGAAGGCGGCUUGCUGGACUGUGACUGACACUGAAGCUCGAAAGCGUGGGGAGCGAACAGGAUUAGAUACCCGAGUAGUC